GGGGAAUAUUGCGCAAUGGGCGAAAGCCUGACGCAGCGACGCCGCGUGAGGGACGACGGCCUUCGGGUUGUAAACCUCUUUCAGCAGGGACGAAAAUGACGGUACCUGCAGAAGAAGCACCGGCUAACUACGUGCCAGCAGCCGCGGUAAUACGUAGGGUGCAAGCGUUGUCCGGAUUUAUUGGGCGUAAAGAGCUCGUAGGCGGUCUGUCGCGUCGGAUGUGAAAACUUGGGGCUCAACCCUGAGCUUGCAUUCGAUACGGGCAGACUAGAGGAUUGCAGGGGAGACUGGAAUUCCUGGUGUAGCGGUGGAAUGCGCAGAUAUCAGGAGGAACACCGGUGGCGAAGGCGGGUCUCUGGGCAAUUACUGACGCUGAGGAGCGAAAGCGUGGGGAGCAAAC
rnacentral:rRNA from 1 species